GACGAACGCUGGCGGCGUGCUUAACACAUGCAAGUCGAGCGGUAAGGCCCUUUCGGGGGUACACGAGCGGCGAACGGGUGAGUAACACGUGGGUGACCUGCCCUCAGCUCUGGGAUAAGCCUGGGAAACCGGGUCUAAUACCGGAUAUGACUCCAUGACGCAUGUUGUGGGGUGGAAAGCCUUGUGCGGCUGAGGAUGGGCCCGCGGCCUAUCAGCUUGUUGGUGGGGUGAUGGCCUACCAAGGCGACGACGGGUAGCCGGCCUGAGAGGGCGACCGGCCGACACUGGGACUGAGACACGGCCCAGACUCCUACGGGAGGCGAGCAGUGGGGAAUCUUGCGCAAUGGGCGAAAGCCUGACGCAGCGACGCC
rnacentral:rRNA from 1 species